CCGAACCGACUAAUGUUGAAAAAUUAGCGGAUGACCUGUGGCUGGGGGUGAAAGGCCAAUCAAACCGGGAGAUAGCUGGUUCUCCCCGAAAGCUAUUUAGGUAGCGCCUCGUGAAUUCAUCUCCGGGGGUAGAGCACUGUUUCGGCUAGGGGGCCAUCCCGGCUUACCAACCCGAUGCAAACUGCGAAUACCGGAGAAUGUUAUCACGGGAGACACACGGCGGGUGCUAACGUCCGUCGUGAAGAGGGAAACAACCCAGACCGCCAGCUAAGGUCCCAAAGUCAUGGUUAAGUGGGAAACGAUGUGGGAAGGCCCAGACAGCCAGGAUGUUGGCUUAGAAGCAGCCAUCAUUUAAAGAAAGCGUAAUAGCUCACUGGUCGAGUCGGCCUGCGCGGAAGAUGUAACGGGGCUAAACCAUGCACCGAAGCUGCGGCAGCGACACUGUGUGUUGUUGGGUAGGGGAGCGUUCUGUAAGCCUGCGAAGGUGG
rnacentral:rRNA from 1 species